rnacentral:rRNA from 1 species
UGGGGAAUUUUGGACAAUGGGCGAAAGCCUGAUCCAGCAAUGCCGCGUGUGUGAAGAAGGCCUUCGGGUUGUAAAGCACUUUUGUCCGGAAAGAAAUCCUUGGCUCUAAUACAGUCGGGGGAUGACGGUACCGGAAGAAUAAGCACCGGCUAACUACGUGCCAGCAGCCGCGGUAAUACGUAGGGUGCAAGCGUUAAUCGGAAUUACUGGGCGUAAAGCGUGCGCAGGCGGUUUGCUAAGACCGAUGUGAAAUCCCCGGGCUCAACCUGGGAACUGCAUUGGUGACUGGCAGGCUAGAGUAUGGCAGAGGGGGGUAGAAUUCCACGUGCAGCAGUGAAAUGCGUAGAGAUGUGGAGGAAUACCGAUGGCGAAGGCAGCCCCCUGGGCCAAUACUGACGCUCAUGCACGAAAGCGUGGGGAGCAAACAGGAUUAGAUACCCUGGUAGUCCACGCCCUAAACGAUGUCAACUAGUUGUUGGGGACUUCAUUUUCCUUAGUAACGUAGCUAACGCGUGAAGUUGACCGCCUGGGGAGUACGGUCGCAAGAUU